rnacentral:rRNA from 1 species
UACGUAGGGUGCGAGCGUUGUCCGGAAUUACUGGGCGUAAAGAGCUUGUAGGCGGUUUGUCGCGUCUGCUGUGAAAUUUCGGGGCUCAACCCCGAACCUUGCAGUGGGUACGGGCAGACUAGAGUGUGGUAGGGGAGACUGGAAUUCCUGGUGUAGCGGUGAAAAUGCGCAGAUAUCAGGAGGAACACCGAUGCGAAGGCAGGUCUCUGGGCCACUACUGACGCUGAGAAGCGAAAGCAUGGGGGAGCGAAACAGG